GCCGUAGCUCAGUGGUAGAGCACCUGCUGUGCAUGCAGAAGGUCCCAGGUUCAAUCCCAUUAGAUCCCUGGAGAGCUGCU